UGGUCAUGCAGGUCCUUGA
rnacentral:misc_RNA from 1 species